GGCAUGCUGUCCUUGACCCAUUCUCAAACUUUAAAUGGGUAAGAUCCAAUGGUUGCUUUUUUGGACUUUUGGAAUAAAUGG
rnacentral:rRNA from 1 species